CUUCAGUUCGCCAAAGUUUGGAAGGUUGUCGGGAUCCAUGAGCUCAACAGGAACGAUGGCUGGGUAUGGAAGGGGCAUGUAUAAGCCCUUCUGAAAUUUUCCUGCAAUAAUAUAAUCAUCAUCAGUGCUUGCAGAUACGAAAAAGGGAUAUGAAUUCAAUUUCGUGUCUUUCCAUGUGAGCAUGUUGAACAGAACGUCGCAAGAGCCAUCACCGAUAAAGAUGCCAGCUGUACAGGCCAGAAGGCCCAAGACUCCAGGCCAGUUAACAGCCAUUUUUUCAGAGCGCAAUUAGUAUUCUGAACAGGCCUGGUAGCCGUUAACCUGCUCAAGUAGGUACGUUGGAUAGUGGAUCAAUUAUGAGAUCGAAUUGUGGCCAUCGAUGCAGUAACGUUGAUUGACUAUCAGAACAUGCUCAGAACCAUUCAAUA
rnacentral:lncRNA from 1 species